rnacentral:rRNA from 1 species
CUUGCUUCUCUUGAGAGCGGCGGACGGGUGAGUAAUGCCUAGGAAUCUGCCUGGUAGUGGGGGAUAACGUUCGGAAACGGACGCUAAUACCGCAUACGUCCUACGGGAGAAAGCAGGGGACCUUCGGGCCUUGCGCUAUCAGAUGAGCCUAGGUCGGAUUAGCUAGUUGGUGGGGUAAUGGCUCACCAAGGCGACGAUCCGUAACUGGUCUGAGAGGAUGAUCAGUCACACUGGAACUGAGACACGGUCCAGACUCCUACGGGAGGCAGCAGUGGGGAAUAUUGGACAAUGGGCGAAAGCCUGAUCCAGCCAUGCCGCGUGUGUGAAGAAGGUCUUCGGAUUGUAAAGCACUUUAAGUUGGGAGGAAGGGUUGUAGAUUAAUACUCUGCAAUUUUGACGUUACCGACAGAAUAAGCACCGGCUAACUCUGUGCCAGCAGCCGCGGUAAUACAGAGGGUGCAAGCGUUAAUCGGAAUUACUGGGCGUAAAGCGCGCGUAGGUGGUUUGUUAAGUUGGAUGUGAAAUCCCCGGGCUCAACCUGGGAACUGCAUUCAAAACUGACUGACUAGAGUAUGGUAGAGGGUGGUGGAAUUUCCUGUGUAGCGGUGAAAUGCGUAGAUAUAGGAAGGAACACCAGUGGCGAAAGCGACCACCUGGACUAAUACUGACACUGAGUGCGAAAGCGUGGGGAGCAAACAGGAUUAGAUACCCUGUAGUCCACGCCGUAAACGAUGUCAACUAGCCGUUGGAAGCCUUGAGCUUUUAGUGGCGCAGCUAACGCAUUUA